AACGAACGCUGGCGGCAGGCCUAACACAUGCAAGUCGAGCGGACCUUUCGGGGUCAGCGGCGGACGGGUGAGUAACGCGUGGGGAUAUGCCCUUCUCUACGGAAUAGUCCUGGGAAACUGGGGGUAAUACCGUAUACGCCCUUUGGGGGAAAGAUUUAUCGGGGAAGGAUUAGCCCGCGUUGGAUUAGGUAGUUGGUGGGGUAAUGGCCUACCAAGCCGACGAUCCAUAGCUGGUUUGAGAGGAUGAUCAGCCACACUGGGACUGAGACACGGCCCAGACUCCUACGGGAGGCAGCAGUGGGGAAUCUUAGACAAUGGGGGCAACCCUGAUCUAGCCAUGCCGCGUGAGUGAUGAAGGCCUUAGGGUUGUAAAGCUCUUUCAGCUGGGAAGAUAAUGACGGUACCAGCAGAAGAAGCCCCGGCUAACUCCGUG
rnacentral:rRNA from 1 species